GGUGUCCGAGUUGUAAUUUGAAGAAGGUAACUUUGGAGUUGGCUCUUGUCUAUGUUCCUUGGAACAGGACGUCACAGAGGGUGAGAAUCCCGUGCGAUGAGAUGCCCAAUUCUAUGUAAAGUGCUUUCGAAGAGUCGAGUUGUUUGGGAAUGCAGCUCUAAGUGGGUGGUAAAUUCCAUCUAAAGCUAAAUAUUGGCGAGAGACCGAUAGCGAACAAGUACAGUGAUGGAAAGAUGAAAAGAACUUUGAAAAGAGAGUGAAAAAGUACGUGAAAUUGUUGAAAGGGAAGGGCUUGAGAUCAGACUUGGUAUUUUGCGAUCCUUUCCUUCUUGGUUGGGUUCUCCGCAGCUUACUGGGCCAGCAUCGGUUUGGAUGGUAGGAUAAUGGCCAAGGAAUGUGGCUCUACUU
rnacentral:rRNA from 1 species